CCUACGGGUGGCAGCAGUGGGGAAUAUUGGACAAUGGGCGAAAGCCUGAUCCAGCCAUGCCGCGUGUGUGAAGAAGGCCUUCGGGUUGUAAAGCACUUUCAGUGGGGAAGAAAGCCUUGGGGCUAAUACCCUCGAGGAAGGACAUUACCCACAGAAGAAGCACCGGCUAACUCCGUGCCAGCAGCCGCGGUAAUACGGAGGGUGCGAGCGUUAAUCGGAAUUACUGGGCGUAAAGCGCGCGUAGGCGGUCUGAUAAGCCGGUUGUGAAAGCCCCGGGCUCAACCUGGGAACGGCAUCCGGAACUGUCAGGCUAGAGUGCAGGAGAGGAAGGUAGAAUUCCCGGUGUAGCGGUGAAAUGCGUAGAGAUCGGGAGGAAUACCAGUGGCGAAGGCGGCCUUCUGGACUGACACUGACGCUGAGGUGCGAAAGCGUGGGUAGCAAACAGGAUUAGAUACCCUAGUAGUC
rnacentral:rRNA from 1 species